rnacentral:rRNA from 1 species
UACGGAGGGAGCUAGUGUUGUUCGGAUUUACUGGGCGUAAAGGGCGCGUAGGUGGUGAUAUAAGUUAGGAGUGAAAUCCCGGAGCUUAACUCCGGAACUGCUUCUAAAACUGUAUAACUAGAGUGUGGUAGAGGGUAAUAGAAUUCCUAGUGUAGAGGUGAAAUUCUUAGAUAUUAGGAGGAAUACCGAUUGCGAAGGCAGUUACCUGGGCCAUUACUGACACUGAGGCGCGAAGGCGUGGGUAGCAAACAGG